UCUUCCGCAAUGGACGAAAGUCUGACGGAGCAACGCCGCGUGAGUGAUGAAGGUUUUCGGAUCGUAAAACUCUGUUGUUAGGGAAGAACAAGUACCGUUCGAAUAGGGCGGCACCUUGACGGUACCUAACCAGAAAGUCACGGCUAAUUACGUGCCAGCAGCCGCGGUAAUACGUAGGUGGCACGCGUCGUCCGGAAUAAUUGGGCGUAAAGGGCUCGCAGGCUGUUUCUUAAGUCUGAUGUGAAAGCCCCCGGCUCAACCGGGGAGGGUCAUUGGAAACUGGGGAACUCGAGUGCAGAAGAGGAGAGUGGAAUUCCACGUGUAGCGGUGAAAUGCGUAGAGAUGUGGAGGAACACCAGUGGCGAAGGCGACUCUCUGGUCUGUAACUGACGCUGAGGAGCGAAAGCGUGGGGAGCGAACAG
rnacentral:rRNA from 1 species